rnacentral:rRNA from 1 species
UACGUAGGUGGCAAGCGUUGUCCGGAUUUAUUGGGUUUAAAGGGUGCGUAGGCGGUCCUUUAAGUCAGUGCUGAAAUACUCUAGCUUAACUAGAGGGGUGGCAUUGAUACUGGAGGACUUGAAUGAAGUCGAGGUAGGCGGAAUUGACGGUGUAGCGGUGAAAUGCUUAGAUAUCGUCAAGAACACCGAUAGUGAAGACAGCUUACUAGGUUUAGAUUGACGCUGAGGCACGAAAGUGUGGGGAUCAAACAGG